rnacentral:rRNA from 1 species
UACGUAGGGUGCAAGCGUUGUUCGGAAUUACUGGGCGUAAAGGGCGCGUAGGCGGGCCUGUAAGUCGAUUGUGAAAGCCCCGGGCUUAACCUGGGAACAGCAGUCGAAACUGCAGGUCUUGGAUGCCUGAGAGGAUGGCGGAAUUCCCGGUGUAGAAGUGAAAUUCGUAGAUAUCGGGAAGAACACCUGAGGCGAAGGCGGCUGUCUGGCGGUGCAUCGACGCUGAGGCGCGAAAGCGUGGGGAGCAAACAGG